UGGUGACCCACGGUAUGUGAAUCUU
rnacentral:piRNA from 1 species